rnacentral:rRNA from 1 species
GCAUAUCAAUAAGCGGAGGAAAAGAAACCAACAGGGAUUGCCCUAGUAACGGCGAGUGAAGCGGCAACAGCUCAAAUUUGAAAUCUGGCGCAAGCCCGAGUUGUAAUUUGUAGAGGAUGCUUCUAGGUAGCGACCGGUCUAAGUUCCUUGGAACAGGACGUCAUAGAGGGUGAGAAUCCCGUAUGUGACCGGCCCGCACCUUCUACGUAGCUCCUUCGACGAGUCGAGUUGUUUGGGAAUGCAGCUCUAAAUGGGAGGUAAAUUUCUUCUAAAGCUAAAUACCGGCCAGAGACCGAUAGCGCACAAGUAGAGUGAUCGAAAGAUGAAAAGCACUUUGGAAAGAGAGUUAAAAAGCACGUGAAAUUGUUGAAAGGGAAGCGCUUACAACCAGACUUCUGGGCGGUGUUCCGCCGGUCUUCUGACCGGUCUACUCACCGUCCCGAGGCCAACAUCAUCUGGGACCGCCGGAUAAGACCUCAGGAAUGUAGCUCCCCUCGGGGAGUGUUAUAGCCUGUGGUGAUGCGGCGCGUCUCGGGUGAGGUCCGCGCUUCGGCAAGGAUGUUGGCGUAAUGGUUGUCAGCGGCCCGUCUUGAAACACGGACCAAGGAGUCUAACAUCUAUGCGAGUGUUCGGGUGUCAAACCCCUACGCGUAAUGAAAGUGAACGGAGGUGGGAAGGGUAACCUGCACCAUCGACCGAUCCUGAUGUCCUCGGAUGGAUUUGAGUAAGAGCAUAGCUGUUGGGACCCGAAAGAUGGUGAACUAUGCCUGAAUAGGGUGAAGCCAGAGGAAACUCUGGUGGAGGCUCGCAGCGGUUCUGACGUGCAAAUCGAUCGUCAAAUUUGGGUAUAGGGGCGAAAGACUAAUCGAACCAU